CCUACGGGUGGCAGCAGUGGGGAAUAUUGGACAAUGGGGGGAACCCUGAUGCAGCGACGCCGCGUGAGGGAAGAAGGAUUUCGGAAUGUAAAGCUCUAUCAGCAGGGAAGAAAAUGACGGUACCUGACUAAGAAGCCCCGGCUAACUACGUGCCAGCAGCCGCGGUAAUACGGAGGGGGCAAGCGUUAUCCGGAUUUACUGGGGGUAAAGGGAGCGUAGGCGGUGCAGCAAGUCAGAUGUGAAAGCUCGGGGCCCAACCCCGGGACUGCAUUUGAAACUGUUGAACUGGAGUACAGGAGAGGUAAGCGGAAUUCCUGGUGUAGCGGUGAAAUCCGUAGAGAUUAGGAGGAACACCAGUUGCGAAGGCGGUUUACUGGACUAUAACUGACGCUGAGGCUCGAAAGCGUGGGGAGCAAACAGGAUUAGAUACCCUUGUAGUC
rnacentral:rRNA from 1 species